rnacentral:rRNA from 1 species
UACGUAGGGUGCUAGCGUUGUCCGGAUUUAUUGGGCGUAAAGAGCUCGUAGGCGGUGUGUCACGUCGAUCGUGAAAACUUACAGCUUAACUGUGAGCGUGCGGUCGAUACGGGCAUCACUGGAGUUCGGCAGGGGAGACUGGAAUUCCUGGUGUAGCGGUGAAAUGCGCAGAUAUCAGGAGGAACACCGGUGGCGAAGGCGGGUCUCUGGGCCGAUACUGACGCUGAGGAGCGAAAGCGUGGGGAGCGAACAGG